GCUCGCCUCGUCUGCUUGAGGGAGACGCCGCAGGGCCCGGCUUGCCGCCCUGCCCCGCCGGGUUUACCUCGGCCCUGGGGGCGCAAGAUGGAGAAGAGGCUUUAGCGCUGACGGCUCAGUGGAGGAGCCGUGGGCCCGCGGCCUGUCCCCGGGGCUGCCGCAGGUAGAGAUUACCUCUACAAACUGUAUGUCUCAUCCCUGAUUCUCCAGGAAUGGCCACUGGUCCCAGAUUAGUAUGUGGGUAUGCACAGAGGAUGAAGCCCUUAGUGGUAGCAUUUGUAACCCACUUGCAUAGUAUUUAGAUACAUUUCUUUUGGACAAGAUGGUUUGAAGACGUCUUUUGGGGGUUUUUUGUGUGUGUUUUGCAACUCUCAGCCUUCUAAUAUAACUGGUCAAAUGUUGUUCAAAACAGCUAAGUUCUUGUCUGUUACAGAUUCCACUGUAUUAUUGUCAGUCCUUCAUAUACUUCCACACUUGCAGUACCUCUCUCUCUGAUUAAAAGCAGGAGUAUGGAAGCUUAGAAGGUUCUGAUAAUACUCAGCAGUAGUUACACUGAUACCCUAUUUGCGAGCAGCUCGUUACUGGAGGCUGGAGCCAAUGUCACAAUUUUGUUUGUAUUAUCGUGCUGAGUCCAAACUUUACAGUUUAAAUUCAACCAGAUGUUCCUUAGCAGAGCUGCUUUGGAUCCAGCAUGCCGCAGUACAACCCCACUGAUGUGUCUUUGCUUUUAGUGCACUCCUGUUAACUUUUCUCCCAAUUACUGAAUUA
rnacentral:lncRNA from 1 species